rnacentral:rRNA from 1 species
CAGUCGCCGCGGUAAUACGGAGGGUGCAAGCGUUAUCCGGAUUUAUUGGGUUUAAAGGGUCCGUAGGCGGAUCUGUAAGUCAGUGGUGAAAUCUCACAGCUUAACUGUGAAACUGCCAUUGAUACUGCAGGUCUUGAGUAAAUUUGAAGUGGCUGGAAUAAGUAGUGUAGCGGUGAAAUGCAUAGAUAUUACUUAGAACACCAAUUGCGAAGGCAGGUCACUAAGAUUUAACUGACGCUGAUGGACGAAAGCGUGGGGAGCGAACAGGAUUAGAUACCCGCGUAGUCCCUGUCUCUUAUAC